AUACGUAGGGGGCGAGCGUUGUCCGGAAUGACUGGGCGUAAAGGGCGUGUAGGCGGCCGAUUAAGUCUGGAGUGAAAGUCCUGCUUUCAAGGUGGGAAUUGCUUUGGAGACUGGUUGGCUUGAGUGCGGAAGAGGUAAGUGGAAUUCCCAGUGUAGCGGUGAAAUGCGUAGAGAUUGGGAGGAACACCAGUGGCGAAGGCGACUUACUGGGCCGUAACUGACGCUGAGGCGCGAAAGCGUGGGGAGUGAACAGGAUUAGAUACCCUGGUAGUCCACGCGGUAAACGAUGAAUGCUAGGUGUUGCGGGUAUCGACCCCUGCAGUGCCGGAGUAAACACAAUAAGCAUUCCGCCUGGGGAGUACGGCCGCAAGGUUGAAACUCAAAUGAAUUGACGGGG
rnacentral:rRNA from 1 species